GAUGAACGCUAGCUACAGGCUUAACACAUGCAAGUCGAGGGGAAACGACAUCGAAAGCUUGCUUUUGAUAGGCGUCGACCGGCGCACGGGUGAGUAACGCGUAUCCAACCUGCCCACCACUUGGGGAUAACCUUGCGAAAGUAAGACUAAUACCCGAUGAUAUCUCUAUAAGACAUCUGAAAGGGAUUAAAGAUUUAUCGGUGAUGGAUGGGGAUGCGUCUGAUUAGCUUGUUGGCGGGGUAACGGCCCACCAAGGCGACGAUCAGUAGGGGUUCUGAGAGGAAGGUCCCCCACAUUGGAACUGAGACACGGUCCAAACUCCUACGGGAGGCAGCAGUGAGGAAGAGUGGGCAAUGGGCGAGAGCCUGAACCAGCCAAGUAGCGUGCAGGAGGACGGCCCUAUGGGUGGUAAACUGCUUUUAUAAGGGAAUAAAGUGAGUCUCGGGAGACUUUUUGCAGGUACCUUAUGAAUAAGGACCGGCUAAUUCCGUG
rnacentral:rRNA from 1 species